rnacentral:lncRNA from 1 species
CAGCAUCUAGUCUUGUAGAAGUAAUCUGGCCUCAUGCUUUCAGCAUCAUAGACCCUAGAUGGCAACCUCUCAGCCAUAUAUUGAGUCGUGCAUUCUGCAGUAGUGCGACCAUCUCAUUGAGCAGCAACGUUAAAGAAAUUCCAAUAAAUUCACUCGAUCACUUCUUAGAAGGUUUAGCAUUCAUGCUUGAUCCACCAACUUCCACUAAAACAAUAUUUCCCACAACAACCUUGUUGCCAUAAACAAUGGCUUAUUUUUA